AUUGAACGCUGGCGGCAGGCCUAACACAUGCAAGUCGAACGGUAACAGGAAGAAGCUUGCUUCUUUGCUGACGAGUGGCGGACGGGUGAGUAAUGUCUGGGAAACUGCCUGAUUGAGGGGGAUAACUACUGGAAACGGUUGCUAAUACCGCAUAACGUCUCAUGACCAAAGAGGGGGACCUUCGGGCCUCUUGCCAUCGGAUGUGCCCAGAUGGGAUUAGCUAGUAGGUGGGGUAACGGCUCACCUAGGCGACGAUCUCUAGCUGGUCUGAGAGGAUGACCAGCCACACUGGAACUGAGACACGGUCCAGACUCCUACGGGAGGCAGCAGUGGGGAAUAUUGCACAAUGGGCGCAAGCCUGAUGCAGCCAUGCCGCGUGUAUGAAGAAGGCCUUCGGGUUGUAAAGUACUUUCAGCGGGGAGGAAGGGAGUAAAGUUAAUACCUAUGCUCAUUGACGUUACCCGCAGAAGAAGCACCGGCUAACUCCGUG
rnacentral:rRNA from 1 species